AACGAACGCUGGCGGCAGGCCUAACACAUGCAAGUUGAACGUGAAGCCACUUCGGUGGUGGAAAGUAGCGCACGGGUGAGUAAACGCGUGGGAAUUUACACUUCAGUAAGGAACAACAGUUGGAAACGACUGCCUAAUACCUUAUAAUGACUCCGAUCCAAAGAUUUAUCGCUGAAAGGAUAAGCCCGCGUCUGAUUAGCUAGUUGGCGAGGU
rnacentral:rRNA from 1 species